GGAGGCGACCGGGGACUGGUGUCCCUCCCGGUCUUCAAAACCGGUGGGGCGGCGAGAGCCGCCCGGCGGGUUCGAUUCCCGUCCGCCUCCGCCA
rnacentral:tRNA from 1 species